AACGAACGCUGGCGGCGUGGAUAAGACAUGCAAGUCGAACGGGACUAAAUCUGUAGCAAUACAGGUUUAGUUUAGUGGCGAACGGGUGCGUAACACGUGGGCAAUCUGCCGAGAAGUGGGGGAGUAGCUCGCCGAAAGGACGAAUUAAUACCGCAUAUGAUCAGUGAAGACAUCUUCACGACAUCAAAGACCGGGGCGAACCUGGCGCUUCUUGAUGAGCCCGCCGGCCUAUCAGCUAGUUGGUGAGGUAACGGCUCACCAAGGCUAUGACGGGUAGCUGGUCUGAGAGGACGACCAGUCACACUGGAACUGAGACACGGUCCAGACACCUACGGGUGGCAGCAGUCGAGAAUUUUUCUUC
rnacentral:rRNA from 1 species